GAACCUGGAGGAGAAUGCGAAAUGGUAUGACUCUGGCGUUUGAGUCCAGCACGGUGUCCAGAGCUCCAACAAGGAGACCUGCGGGCACAGGAGGCGUCCAAAACUUUAGAGAACACGGUCGGGUAAAGAGACUCAACAGAGGAAACUCACAAACACACUGGGAGCCAAACAAACGCCGUCCUAAAAGACGAGAAGGAGGAGGAGGAGGAGGAUCUUCUUGCUGCACUUCCCAGGAUUCAGUUCUGCUGGAGGAAAACAGCGCUGACCUUGGGUUGAGUUCACUUUCGACUUCCACUACACAUAAAGUUAAAGA